rnacentral:rRNA from 1 species
GCACCCCCAGGUCAGGCGGGGCUACCCGCUGAGUUUAAGCAUAUCAAUAA